CUGUUUAGAUGGGCAGGUAUUGUUCUAGCACUUUACAAAUGUUAAUUCACCUCACACUUCCUGCCCCCCAUGAAGUAGACAGUGUUAUUAUGGCUAAUUUACUGAUAAGGAAACGAAUCCAUGGCAGGGCAGAGCACCAUGCCCAAAGUUACAUAGCUCGGGAGCUCAGAGGAGGAUUGGAAGCCAGGCAGACAGUUGGCCCCCACAGUCGCAUACUCUUUUUCAUUUAAUUUAUUUCUUUUUUCUUUUUUUAUUUCAGAGAGAGACAGAGAGAGGCAGAGGGAAGAAGAGAGGGAGAAUCUUAAGUAGGCUGCACGCUCAGUGUGAAGUCAGACAUGGGGUUCCAUUCCAUCUUCCUGGGAUCCUGACCUGAGCCAAAAUCAAGAGCUGGAUGCUCAACUGACUGAGACACCCAGGCACCCCCAGAGUCCCAUACUCUUAAAUUUGAAACAGUUCAGCAAUUCCUGAAGAACUUCAAAUGGCCAACGUGUUCAAAUAGCCUGUGUUUCUAGAGCUUUACCAUGUUUCCAAGGAUAUUGACCACCAUUCCACCGAUGUCAUCUGGUUGAGCACGAAGAGAGUUUCAAAGACUGUAGAUCUCAGAUUGAGAACUCCUGGUUGAAUGCUUUGGAGAAGAUCUGGGCUCCAUGCUUUGGAAGAGUUCAGAGUCUGGAAUCAAGAGGUGGACCCUUCUGAGAUCUCUUUAAUUUUUUCAUUGUCCUUGUGGAUGUGGGACAAGUCCCUCUUGAAUGGCAACGUCCAAGCUUCUUUGAUGGUGAACAGCACCCACAGACUUUCUGUGAAAAUCCUUCCUCCUCCAUUUUGGAAGAAUGGAUUCUGUCUGAGCUUCAGGGCUGUGCCAACAAGUCCAGUCCAGUUUCCUGACCAGAGAACUGGGUUCAGCCUGGAUCUCUCCUCAUGGCAGCUGUAGGAAACACAGGAACUCCGUGACCUGGAAAAUGUGGGACAACUGCCACAAGGUGACCCUGGAAGGCUGGGGUAGGCCCAAUUAAUUUAAAAUUUUGCUUGGCCUUGUCUCUUCCAAUUUUCUAAAUCCUCUGGAAAAAUGAUUAAUGCGUACACUGCCAAUGCGAAAAUAUUUUUGACCCUAUUAAAGUCGACCAAGGGUAAACCAAGUGUAGGCUGGCAUUGUAUCAAACUAGCUUUAUUAAAUUUGAUUGGAGGUUUGUAUGAGGAAGGGACAGACAAGGACAUUAUUUUGCACAGCGGCUCUCUUUUAAAUGAAAAUAUCAAGAGGAAUACAAAGUAGCAAUAUGCCCUGGACAGGAAUCAUUUUAAAUAUAGGAAAACACCAUGAAGAACUUUGUUUAAAUGGUAAACCACGUUCGCUAGAAAAUUUGCUGCUAUCUUAUUGCUAUGCUGGUCAGUUACUAAUGAGGCUGUUGUAAUUUAUGGAAGGCUAUGGAAGCCUUACACUUUUUCAUGUAUAGAUGAACUAGUUCAACCUUGCUUUCUUUCUCUUAUCUGUCAUUGAAUUCUACAACUUAAAAUUAUCUGUCUGCAUUUUGAACCUUAGCAGAGCAAGGCUUCAUCUCAUGGCGUUUCCCCAUCGUGUCCAUCCUUUGCAAUCAUCUAGUUAAUUAACAACGUGAUAGUUUUUUUUUUCCCCCUACUGGUUAUUCUGUUUUGAAUAACAAGGGCACAACUUAGGC
ensembl:lncRNA